GGAAUUUCUUCAGCCAGAGAGUGGUGAAUCUGUGUAAUUCUUUGCCAUAGUCAGCCGUGGAAGCCAAGUCUUCGUGUAUAUUUAAGGUUUCUUUUGAAGACCGUGACCUGGAGUUACACGCAGGCUUCAGUUCUUUGUGAAAAUGGGACCCGUUCUCGGGGUUUCAGGACCAGCCAUUGUUGUUCGGCAUGCCAAGGGUUUGGCCUGAGAGCCUGGCUCGAAUUCAGAAGCCUAAGAUCUCGGGGCUCAGGAGAGGGGUGGGUCAAGGGUUGGGGUCACAGCAGGAGACUCGUGUCAUCGGGGAGGCCAGAAAAUCUUUCAUUGUGGGCACGAAGACCCAAGAUCUUUGCGAUCUUCGGACAUAGAGCUCGAAAAAAGUGACAAAACGGACUUUUAACAUCGUAAACCAGCGGGUUGUUGUUAUACCUCCUGCUCACUGUGAAAAAUGGAGGACACCUCACUCUCCCCUGCCUGGGAGAGAGAGAACCUGUGGGUUGUCAAAUUUUGGAUGAACUCCAAAGCUUUUGGGGUAACUUUGGUCUGUGUCUUUGCUAUUGCUUAGCACACGCUUGGGCUCGCUGAUGGAAUAGAUGCGUGUUUUCUUUUGCUGGUGGGGGGAGGGGGGAGCUGGGGGGGGGGCUUUGGUGUUCUCAUGUUUAACUGUCACUCAUUCUUUAGGGCACUUCUCUGUUUUUGUGGAUGUUUGCGAAGAAAAAGCAUUUCAGGCUGUAUAUUGUACACAUUUCUCUGACAUUAAACUUGACCUUUGAAUGUUUGAUAGGGUGUGGCAUGAUACACACUGGGCCACAAUGAAGAGAUACAACAUGGGCCAGAAGCUGGUCCAAACCAUCAAGUAGCUCUACACCAAAGCUAGUACUUGUUCAAAGCACAGUUGGAGAGUGGUUCCACACAUCAGAUGGAGUCCAACAAGGCUGCCUCCUUUCACCCAUGCUCUUCAAUAUUUUCCUGGAGCAAAUGAGAAACAGUGAGGAGCCAAUUACGACAAAAAUCAGUCGGUGAACAAGAACUAAAGACUGUCAAAUGGUUCAAGUAUCUUGGUGCUAUUAUCAACCAAGGAUUAAAGCCUCAAGUCCUUGGAAAGACAGCUCAAAUAACAGCAACCCUGGCUAAACUAAAUACAAUCUGUAGAGACAAUAACAUCGCUCUCAGAUCCAAGUUGAAACUCCUGCAUGCACUUGUGCUCUCCAUCUUCUUGUAUGCACACAAAUUAUGGACAGCAGAACUGCAAAAGAAGUGAAACACCCUGGAUUCCUUGGCUGUGUAAGUCUAGGGAAGACACACACAAGACCCGCCAAAUUGUAGGAUUGAGAUGGCUCGUCCCACCCCAAACCCCCAUUUGUGUGGAUGCUGUGUAAUUUGCUACCCUGUUACAAAAUAGUCCCAUGAAAUAACAGACAGUACACUGCAUAUGAUUAAAGGAUUUAUAUUUAUGAAUCUUAACUAAAGGGUUAGUAAAGAAUAACAAAAAGGGCCCAUUCUAAUUAAACAGUGAAAUGUGCACAAGUCGGAGAUCAUCUUGAACUUCUCUGUCACUCACAAGCUGAGCUCUUCGGGCAGCGUGAAAUCACACACCACCUUCUGACCAUCGCUCGUAAUCCACCUUGAACAAACGGGUCCCCCACUGGAGAAGACGCCAGUUCUCCCUGGCAUCUUCUCUCUUCAUCUCCCACUAAACAAAAACCUCAAGCCCAACCUUAGUGUUUCUUACCAGAGAAACCUCCCCUUAAUCCGACCAUCCUAACUGGAUGGUACACAUUCCUCCUCUCUUAUCUUUAACAAUAACCCAAACAAGCUGAAAACAGAACAAACUGCUUUUACAGAACCACUAAAUGAAAUACUUACAGCCUAACAGUAAAAAUAUGAACCAGGGCAUUACAGAAGAUCCUGGUAGUAGAAAUGGGAUGUUUCAGAAGGCUCCUCAGUGUCUCUUAUACAGACCAUGUCCCAAGCAUUUAAGUAUGAAGAACCAUCAUCCAGCACGAGACACUACUAAGAUCUACUGUCCACAGUAAAAAGGAAACUGAAGUGGUAUGGCCACAUUAACAAAAUCAAGUGGUCUCUCAAUGACCAUUCUUUAGGGAACAGUGCAGGGGAAAGGACAAAAGGGGCAGACAGAGGAAGAAAUGGACAGAUAUCAUUGCAGAGUAGACUGGAGAGUGCUUUGCCAUAACCCAGGCACCCACAACCAUGAAAGAUGGAGGCAUCUGUUACAGUGCUCAUCUGUUCAGUGCCCUUAUGACAGGCGGGUUGCAGGAUCCAUAACAUAAAAAAGAUCUAUUUGCUUUAAGAGUACAAUGAAGAUUCACCAAGGUGGUUCCUAGGACUGCUGCUCUGCAAUUGGGAGAAACUGAGGCAACCACGCCAUUUUCAAGGAUAAGAAGUGACCUUUAAAAUGUACCUCAAUGGGUAGAUGUUUUUUGAACAAAUUGCUGAGAACUCAAAGAUACAAUAUCAAAAUAAGAGGUCAUUUAAUACUGAAAGGAAGGAGAACACCUUUACUUGGAGGGUGGUGAAUCUUUGGAAUUCCAUAUUCCAGGGGGCUGUGUGGGCUCAGUCAAGAAUUGCAUUCAAUGCUAAGAUACAUAGAUCUCUGAAAAUUCAGACUGAUUAAGGGAUAUAGGGAUAAGUUAUAUAAAGAUUAAAGAUUGGCAAUGAUCUUGUUGAAUAGCAAAGCAGCCUAGUCCUAACGAAGGGCCUUGCCCAUAACGUCGACAGCGCUUCUCCCUACAGAUGCUGCCUGGCCUGCUGUGUUCCACCAGCAUUUUGUGUGUUGUUGUUGCUGCUAGUCCUCUUAUGAUUUCUUGCACAAUCCCAAGGACAGGAGUGGGACCAAAUUGGCUAUCACCUAAAGAUUCUUGUGUGCCAGUACAAUUUUAGUACAGAUUAUCAUUGAUGAAUUAGCAAUAAUAAUUAUGACAGGACAAGUCAUUGCUUAUUUACAUGUAUUAAUAUAACAGUUUGAAAUAAAUUAUUUUUAGAAAACCUGUUAAAAAUGAUUAAUCUUUUAAAAAGAUUUUUAAAAUAAUUAUUUCUAAAUAGUAUUGUUAUUGUAAGUUUGCUGCUGUGUACACCCGUUCUGCGAGCAUUUCAAAAUGUAUCAUCCAACAUCACACUCCUGCAUGAGAGAUUUACUGUGAAAACAUCUUAUUGCUCUUGAAUUGUAAAAUAAAUAAUUUUCUGCUUAGUUUGGCAGCGAAGACAACCAUUAUAUAUCUUUUUAUUAUGGAUUGGGCUUACAGAAUUGAAGGGCAGAACUGCAUAUUAUGUGCUAACAGAAUCCUUGCGAGUUCCAUCUUGGGUAUAUAUGCCAUAGGUUUGCCACCCAUGCACUAGGAAAAACCAAGUGGCAGGUUUUACAUGUCCAGAACUGUUGUUCUAAAUCAGCUACUAGUGUGCAGAAUCUUUGAGACAAUGGCUCGGCUCCUUCACAUCUAGGAACAAUUAAAAUGCUCAUCUUAACCGUCUUCUUCACCAUCUCCACAAAGGAACUCAGCGGUAAAGAAAUCAGGAUUAAAUCCAUCUCAUUGUGGUACUGCACAUUUACAUCUACUCAGUUCCAUUGCUGCACAUUCAAUUUACAAAGCAGUAGACCACAACAAUUAAAAUUAAAUGAUGAGUACAAAAUAUUAAUGACUUCAGUACAUUUAUUGAAUUAAAAAGUUACUUGUGCAUCCAUUAUUACUGUCAUUAAAUAUAAUUUUCUACACCAAGUAUUCAAAGUGGAACGAAUACAGAAUUUUCUAUAGUUUGCAUUGAAGGAAUAAUCAAUACAAUGCUUUCAUUGAUUUUAAUCCACAUUUCAAUUUUACACCAUGCUUUAAUUACAAAUUGCAUAUCAUCUUGCUGGAACAUUACUUUUGCAAGCUAAUAACAUAAUUUUGGAUCUGGUUAUUUGUAUUUAAAUUUUGGCAAUUCCUGCAGCAGAGAAAGAAUAAGUCAAACCACAGCACUAUGAAAGAAU